CAGCAGCCGCGGUAAUACCGGCGGCCCGAGUGGCGGUCACUAUUAAUGGGCUUAAAGCGUCCGUAGCCGGGUUGGGAAAUCCUCCGGGAAAUCUGGCCGCUUAACGGUCAGAAUGCCGGAGGAUACUCCCAGCCUAGGGAGCGGGAGAGGCCGAGGGGAUUCCCGGAGUAGGGGUGAAAUCCUAUAAUCCCGGGAGGACCACCUGUGGCGAAGGCGCUCGGCUGGAACGCGUCCGACGGUGAGGGACGAAGGCCAGGGGAGCAAACCGGAUUAGAUACCCGGGUAGUCCUGGCUGUAGACGAUGCGGACUUUGUGUCGGACAAGCUAUGAGCUUGUCCGGUGCCGGAGGGAAACCGUUAAGUCCGCCGCCUGGGGAGUACGGCCGCAAGGCUGAAACUUAAAGGAAUUGGCGGG
rnacentral:rRNA from 1 species